CUAGUACAACAAUUUAUGGCUGUGUUGAAGUUCCUUUGUUGCCUGGAGUACGGUUCGGGAGCAGCACCCGAAGCGGAACGGGUCAUCAAGAGGCCAGUGGCCUGCUACAUGGGGCCAGAUUAUGGUCUUGGCAUAGGACAUCAUGAGCGUUUCUUC